rnacentral:tRNA from 1 species
AGAUAUUGAAGUAAAAAAUUACAUUUAGUUUCGACCUAAAAAUUAGGAUAAUUAUUAUCCCUUAUCUA